rnacentral:lncRNA from 1 species
CAAUUUUUCUACAAUGAGCAUGAAUUACUUUUGUAUCCAGAAUUUUAUCUGCUUUUUCUAAGAGAACAUGUGCAGCAUGAUCUGCUCACAUUAUCAGGAACGACCCAGACUGAGCGGGCAAGUCCCAGCCAGGGCUUCCGUUUCCUGGGCACCUGGGCCUGGUUAGUGCGGGAACCUUGGCAAACAACUCUCAGGUUAACUCUUUCUUCAGAAGAGAGGAGGAGGUGGUGCCACAGGGACCUUCUGCUGAGGGCUGCCGGUAGGAGUGCGGUCGCUAUCGUGAGUCCCGUCACCCUGGGUACCUACUGCGGAGAUCUGGGGAGUUCUUGUCUUCCAGGCAGGUGGCUGAGAGGGAGAAGCCAGGAAACCAAGAGAGAAGGGAACCAGGAGAGCUGCUUGGUGCUCAGUCCGCUAAAAGACUAAGGAUACCCGUACGUGUGACCCCAGCCUGGCCAACCAAAGAAGCCCAGCCCCCUGGCCACAUUGAUUGAGCCAAGAGACGAGGACACAACUCGUCAGGUGCUCUCAGAGUCUUCUCUUGGCUUCAGACGCUGGAGGAGACUGUGGAGAGAGGAGAGGAGCCCCUCAGUUGGGAUGCUGUAAGCUUGCUGCAGUCUGACCGUGUGGAGUGAGACCGUCUACGGCGGAAGAACGUAUGGACACAUCUGAGACUGAACGUGACCUCUGGAGAACGCAAUGGAAGAGCAACUGCCACCCACUUCAGAGGCAUCUGCGGGCCCAGGAGGUUCCUGAGGAGGGGCAGGAGGAUGCCACAGCUGAGUCAGGGCCCUAAGAUUGGGCUUGGCUGCAGAUCUGGAGCAUCUAUCCAUCUGUCCGGGUGUCUAUCUGGCUGCUUGGGGCCCCCGAAGGGGCUAUUCCUGAACAAGAACCCUUCCCACUGACUCAUUUAACUAUUCUUACGACUUAUCUGUAGUCUUG